AGAAUUUGGCGGUUAUUUAAUCUUUCUAGAGGAACCUGUCCUGUAAUUGAUAAUCCACGAUUGAUUUUACUUUAAUUAUAUUUAUAUAUCGCUGUCAUUGAAUGUUUUAAAAGAUUAUUUUCUUAAAUUUUUAUGAAGUUAAUGUUAGGUCAAGAUGUAGUUAUAUUAAAGAAGAGAUGGGUUACAUUUAUUUUAUUAAUGGUGAAGAAUUUGAAAUUGUUUUCUUUAAAAUUGGAUUUAGGUGUAAUUUUUAUAAAAUAAUAAUUUUGAUUUUAGUUCUAAAUNNAUUAAUAUCUGGUUUAUUAAUAUAUGAAUUUAAUUCAUUCUUAAUAAUGCUUUAUUUUAAUUUUAUUAAUUAUAGUAUUUUAAGAAAAGAAAUAUAGGGAUAAGCUUAUAUUUUUUGUUAAAAAUGUUUUUUAACAAUUUUUUGUAGGAUUAAUAAUUUUCAUCUUUAUUUUGUUAUAAUUAUUUUUUGUUGAUUUUGAUUUUUGUUUUUUUAAUUUUUUAUUAAUAUUUUUUUAUUAAUUUUAUUUAUUAAAUAAUUAUGAUAUAAUUAGUAAUUUUUAUAAUUUAAAUAUAGUAAUUCGGCAAAUUUUAUUUUCACCUGUUUAACAAAAACAUGUUCUUUUGUUUUUAAUUUAAGAUCGGGCCUGCCCAUUGAUUUUUUGGAAUUAAAAGGCUGCGGUAUUUUAACUGUACGAAGGUAGCAUAAUCAUUUGUCUUUUAAUUGGAGGCUAGAAUGAAUGGUUUGAUGAAAAAUAUACUUUCUUUAUUUAAUUAUUUUGAAUUUAAUUUUUUAGUUAAAAAGCUAAAAUUUUUUUAUAGGACGAGAAGACCCUAUAGAAGUUAACUUUAUUUAUAAAUUUAUAUUUUUUGUUUUUUAAAUUUAUUUUUAGAAUGUGAAGUUUUGUUGGGGUGAUAUUAAAAUUUAUUUAACUUUUAAUUUUUAUUUCAUUAAUUUAUGUUAUUUUUGAUCCGGAAUUUUUGAUUAUAAGAAUAACUUACCUUAGGGAUAACAGCGUAAUUUUUUCGGAGAGUCCCUAUCGAUGAAUAAGUUUGCGACCUCGAUGUUGAAUUAAGAUUAGAUUUGGGGGUAAAAUUUCAUUUUUCUUGGUCUGUUCGACCAUUAAAUUCUUACAUGAUUUGAGUUCAGACCGGCGUGAGCCAGGUCGGUUUCUAUCCUUAUUUUAUAUAAAUUAGUACGAAAGGACCAUUUAUAUUAAUUAAAUUAUAAUUUUUGAUUAAAAUUA
rnacentral:rRNA from 1 species